rnacentral:misc_RNA from 1 species
GAGACAUUGAAGUUACUUCAAAGUCUUUAAACGUCAAGGUUUCCCCUUCUACAUUCUUUUCCUGCCUCUAGCCAAUAAGUUCUUGUACUUUUUCUGCCACUAAUGUGUGCCAAUUGUAUGUUAUCUGAUAGGCUGUACAACGACUUAUAUUUCAUAGAUGCCAAAGGAGCUGUUAGUUUAAAGUCAUUCUACAAUUUAUGUUGUAGAAUGUUGAACUCGGUCUCCCGCGAGAGAUAAAUUUGUAUAUGGGCCUUUGCUAUGGUUGUAGUAACUGCAUAAUGGAGAAUUUUCUUCAAUUGGCACUUCUUACAGUUGUUGAAACCCCAACAGUGGUGGAUCAUAUAGUAAAUUGUAAAUGAGAAUGGA